rnacentral:tRNA from 1 species
GGGCGAUUAGCUCAGUUGGCUAGAGCGCUUGCUCGACAAGCAAGAGGUCAUAGGUUCGAGUCCUAUAUCGCCCACCA